CGAACGGGUGAGUAACGCGUGAGGAACCUGCCUCAAAGAGGGGGACAACAGUUGGAAACGACUGCUAAUACCGCAUAAGCCCACGGCUCGGCAUCGAGCAGAGGGAAAAGGAGUGAUCCGCUUUGAGAUGGCCUCGCGUCCGAUUAGCUAGUUGGUGAGGUAACGGCCCACCAAGGCGACGAUCGGUAGCCGGACUGAGAGGUUGAACGGCCACAUUGGGACUGAGAUACGGCCCAG
rnacentral:rRNA from 1 species